rnacentral:sRNA from 1 species
GGGUGCUAAGUUUCAUGUCACGGUGUCCUAACUGCUGACUCUAUACUGGGAAGCUCUCGGGGACCAAGGAAAGAGCGACCAUAGUUCUGGUCAGCGCCUGCCCCUGGAGCUGGCCACACUUUCCCAAAUCAGGUUUGAUAUUUGACAAAUUGAUCUAAAAUGGCUGGGUUUUUAUCUGAAUAACUCACUGAUGCCAUCCCAGAAAGUCGGCACCAGAUGAAGAAAAUGAAUCACAAGUCAAGUGACAGUCCAAAGGCUCCACAGCUCAGAGGAGGUAGAUCUUAGUUCUUCCUGAGAAGGUAUGAAGGUGGGUAUUCCACCCUACCUGAAUUAUAGGAAUUUCAGAUAUCUGUGAGCAGCUGCAAAGGGGAUUUUACUAGAUGACAUCCUGCUGGGCACACUUUACGCCAGUCCUGAAUGUGUAAUAGAAAUCUGCAGUUUAAUGACACUGAACUAAAUAACCAGAAAAUAGAGGGGUGUAUUAGUGAACUACAGAAAAUUCAAGUCCCAAAAGCUGUAAAUACUCUGAGGACCAAAGAAAAUAUAUACGUUGUUCAGAUUUGCCCUGAGGGGUCAGUUUGUACCCAAACAUUUGCUGCCACAAGUAGUAAAUGUAGAAGCAAUCCAAUAUCUACUAUUUUACUUUUCUUUCAGGGUUAAUCAAGUGCCUUGUUAUAAUUCUUCAAACUAAAAGCAUUAUUAUAAUAAUGAAAAAUAUUUCUGCUGAACUUCCGAAUAAAAAAAUUUAGUAAU